rnacentral:lncRNA from 1 species
ACGACGGUCAUGGGUACCCACCCGGUGGCCAGGGGGGAUACCCUCCGCAAGGGUACCCGCCGCAGCAGGGAGGUUACCCUCCACAGCAAGGAUACCCGCCUGCACCUGGAGCUUACCCACCUGCACCUGGGGCAUACCCUCCUGCACCUGGGGCAUACCCUCCUGCGCCCGGAGCGGGUGGCAGUGACGGGGAGAAGGGGCUCCUCUCCAACAUCAUGCACGGUGUUGCCGGUGCUCAUGGUGGUGGCCAUGGCUACCCAU